rnacentral:rRNA from 1 species
CCUGUGAGGGUUGCUGGAGGUAUCAGAAGUGCGAAUGCUGACAUAAGUAACGAUAAAGCGGGUGAAAAGCCCGCUCGCCGGAAGACCAAGGGUUCCUGUCCAACGUUAAUCGGGGCAGGGUGAGUCGACCCCUAAGGCGAGGCCGAAAGGCGUAGUCGAUGGGAAACAGGUUAAUAUUCCUGUACUUGGUGUUACUGCGAAGGGGGGACGGAGAAGGCUAUGUUAGCCGGGCGACGGUUGUCCCGGUUUAAGCAUGUAGGCUGGUUAUCCAGGCAAAUCCGGAUAAUCAAGGCUGAGGUGUGAUGACGAAGCACUACGGUGCUGAAGUAACAAAUGCCCUGCUUCCAGGAAAAGCCUCUAAGCAUCAGGUAACAUCAAAUCGUACCCCAAACCGACACAGGUGGUCAGGUAGAGAAUACCAAGGCGCUUGAGAGAACUCGGGUGAAGGAACUAGGCAAAAUGGUGCCGUAACUUCGGGAGAAGGCACGCUGGUGUGUAGGUGAAGCCCCUGCGGGUGGAGCUGAGACCAGUCGAAGAUACCAGCUGGCUGCAACUGUUUAUUAAAAACACAGCACUGUGCAAACACGAAAGUGGACGUAUACGGUGUGACGCCUGCCCGGUGCCGGAAGGUUAAUUGAUGGG